AUCUCCUCGGCUUUGAGUUUCUCCUCCUCCCGCAUCUCGUUGUCGGACUCCAGGGCAUCAAAGACGGCAGCCCCGACCAGCAGAGCUGGGCCAAGUCCCAGUGCCCUCCUCAAGAGACUUGGGAAGACUCAGCCCUGCCAGGACUUCAGCCAAGGGAAGACAGGAGCAUCUUCUUUUCCUUUGUGAAAAGAGUCUUGGAUCUGCAGACACCCUGGCUGGCAAGGUGACAUCCUGCUGGGGUGACAUCCUUCUGCAUCCCUGGAGUCCACGUCCCCAAAACACACUGAACACAUUUGUAGCAGAUGGGAGCACAUCCAAAUACUGUGUGUGUUCCAUAAAACCCUUUAAUUCUCAGGAGCCUGUGGCCUUCCUCAAGCCAGAGGAGAAAUGUCAAACUCCUGAGCACUGGGGCAAAGGCAGGGACCGGAACGUAUGAGAAGGCUGCCUGGGCAGGCACCAGAGACGCGACCUCCUGACUUUCUGCCCCGUAGGAGACUCAAUCAGAAGAGCAUUGUUGAAGAGUCCUGGAGUGCUGAGUCCAGUUCUGGGCUCCUCAUUACAAGAGACAGGGACACACUGGAGAGACUCCAAUGCAGGGCCAUGAGGAGGAUUAAUGGACUGGAGCAUCCCUCCCACGAGGACAGGAUGUGAGCACUGGCACUGCUCAGGCUGGGAAAGACUCCAGGGAAUCUCAGCAACAUAGAUGAACACCUGGAAGGAGGUGAGAGGACAGAGCCAGGCUCUUUGACUCAGUGCUGCCCCGUGGCAGGACCAGUGUGCACACACUGAAACACAGCAUCUUCCCUCUGACCCCCAGGAAAUAAUUCCUUUCCUGUGAAGGUGGCCCAGCACUGGCACAGAUUGCCCAGGGAGGCUGUGGAGUCUCCAUCCUUGCAGAUUCUCAAAACCCAUCUGCACAUGGUCCAUGGCAAGGGGCUUUAGGUGGCCCUGCUCGAGCAGGGAUGAGACCACAGUGAUUUCCAGAGGUCCCUGCCCAUCUCUGUGAUUCUCUGAAAGGAAGUGAUAAUCAUCACCGCAUCUUAGGGAAGGGCUAGAAAACCUUUAUGGCAUUGGAUUUCUCCUGCAGCAGCACACUCUAAUACCAUGGGUUGUCCUGCCCAACAUGAUCAAUCUGCUUCUUGCAGUAUUGCCCUGAGAUCAUGGAGGUGAAGUAGGGGUUAUAAUGGUAUCCCACUAUCAGGCAUUAACUGACUUGGGUUUCUCAAAAUCUCAGGUUUCUGUGGUUGAGAUGACCCUGAGGUAUCAGAAAGUCUCUUUUUCCCAGCUCCACAACCGAAGAAAUCGAGAUUCAUUGGUUCUGCUUUUCAAGGUUGUUUAUUUUUUCUUAUCUAUUACAUUCUUUCUCUGACCUGCUGAGAUCUGUCCUGCAGGUCAGGUUGUGGCACAGCAUGUGCCCUUUGGGUGGUGCUAACUUUUUAUACUAAGAACUACAUGUACUUAUUUACAAUAACUUUCCAAUACCUAUCACCUAUGUUAGACAGUCUGUCUCUAUACUAAACCAAUCAAAAAGUGUCACCAAGU